UGGUUCCCCUGGGGUUCUGCAUGGAAUGUUGGGCUGUGCCUGUAGCAACUGCCCUUGUCUGCUGAUCCUGCGGCCGUUGGUGGAACACUGGUGGAGCAGCUGGAGCAGCAGCUGCAGCAUCUGCUCCUGGCUGUCCCUCAGCAGCCACCUUCUGCACUCGGCACCACAGCUGGCCUCUGCAGUGACAUCCUCAUCUCCUCGUCUACUGCCAAGCAUCCCCACAGCACUUUGGCACUGUGCAAGGUGGAAAGGAGAGGCACAAUGAAAAGGAAAGCAAGAGCCCACACUGAGCCACACAUCAAUGUUGGCAGUGACUUUCAGGCCGAGCUCCCUGAGCUGCAGACCGGGCCGCCAAGUGAGGAUGAAGAGCCUGCAACCCUGGUCUGGAAGCCCUUGGAGGAAGA